rnacentral:rRNA from 1 species
AUUGAACGCUGGCGGCAGGCCUAACACAUGCAAGUCGAACGCGUGGCGGACGGGUGAGUAAUGUCUGGGAAACUGCCUGAUGGAGGGGGAUAACUACUGGAAACGGUAGCUAAUACCGCAUACCAUCAGAUGUGCCCAGAUGGGAUUAGCUAGUAGGUGGGGUAAUGGCUCACCUAGGCGACGAUCCCUAGCUGGUCUGAGAGGAUGACCAGCCACACUGGAACUGAGACACGGCCCAGACUCCUACGGGAGGCAGCAGUGGGGAAUAUUGCACAAUGGGCGCAAGCCUGAUGCAGCAAGGCGGCGUGUGUGAAGAAGGCCUUGGGGUUGUAAAGCACUUUCAGCGGGGAGGCGUUACUCGCAGAAGAAGCACCGGCUAACUCCGUGCCAGCCGCCGCGGUAAUUC